ensembl:rRNA 5S_rRNA 5S ribosomal RNA
GCUUACGGCCACACCGCCUGGUUCACGCCCGAUCUCGUUUGAUCUCGGAAGCUAAGGUAGGUUGGGCCUGGUUAGUACUUGGAUUGGAGACCGCCUGGGAAUACCAGGUGCUGUAAGUA